UACAGAGGGUGCAAGCGUUAAUCGGAAUUACUGGGCGUAAAGCGCACGUAGGCGGUUUUUUAAGUCAGAUGUGAAAGCCCCGGGCUCAACCUGGGAAUUGCAUUUGAAACUGGGGAACUAGAGUGUGUGAGAGGGGGGUAGAAUUCCAAGUGUAGCGGUGAAAUGCGUAGAGAUUUGGAGGAAUACCAGUGGCGAAGGCGGCCCCCUGGCCCGAUAUUGACGCUGAGGUGCGAAAGCGUGGGGAGCAAACAGG
rnacentral:rRNA from 1 species